GCCUUUUUCACGUGGGCUUCCAUAAACGGGCUUUGGAGGGGUUCAUGAACUCCUGCAAAUAUAGGUGGCGUUUGGUGUAUAAUUCCGAUCGCCACCUUUGCCUAUUCCUUCCUCAUUCACCCGAGGGACCCAUACCCAUUCACCGUACGGAAACAUCAAAAACAAGCAUUGCUCCAGUGGCUGGCUCUGGCUUCUCUCCAAGGUAUGCCUCUUCCCUACAGAAGUUCUGUUUUGAUUGGUCUUAUGGCUUUUCAGGUCAGGGAAAAGUCUGUUAAAAACCUGUAUUCUU
rnacentral:lncRNA from 1 species